UGCUGGUGAAGGAGGAAGAGCGGUGGUGUCAAGAUUGUUGGGUCAUCAAGAACGGUAAAUCUGCAGGCAAAGGAAGCAAGGGCUGAAUCUGGUGGUAGGGAAAUGUGGGGCCUGGAGGGACAGCCCUGAAAUCUAUGUCACCUCCAUAGACGACGGAUGCGCAGUUCGCUGGUGUGUGGUGUUCUGUUGUUGUUGGUUUGGUUUUUUUGUUUGUUUUUGUUUUUUUGAGAUACGUAGCCCUGGCUUUCUUGGAAGUCACUAUGUAGACCUUGAACUCACAGAGAUCCCCCUGCCUCUGCCUCUUGAGUGUUGGGAUUAAAAGUGUGCAACACCAUGCCAGGUCAUGUUUUGUUUUCGAGUUUCUCUGUGUAGCCCUGGCCGUCCUGGAACUUGCUCUGUAGACCAGGCUGCCCGGAACUCAGGUUCCCCAGCCUCUGCCUCCUGAAUGCUGGAGUUAAAGGCCUGCACCACCACGGAUCUGCCAUGUUUUGUUCUCAAAAUGGGGUUUAAACUUAGAGCUUUUCACAUGCUGAGAAAGUGCCCUACCAUUGAGCUACAUGCUUCUUCAGCUAGCCCUGUAGACUAUUUCCUGAGCAGACUCAGCCACCCGGCAGCUUCUGUGUACCAAAGCUGUGUGUUGAGGAUCUCAGACCCCAGAUUACCACAGAUAAAGGGCAGGCUGACUCCCCCACCCCCACUCUGCUUGUCCUCUGUACACAUGUACAUCCAGGACUGAAGACUGAAGAAAGGGCCCGUCAUCCUCCCCACCCUCGGUGCCAUUUAGGCAGGACAGAAGGUCACCUCCCUACUACACCCGGGGGAGGGGAGAAUGGAAUCCUGAGGGUUGGACUAGCCACUGACAGCAUUCAUCUAGGACAGUCAGAAGAACCCAGAAUGCAGCGGGAGCGGGGCUGGGAGGGGGAGGGUCGAGCUUCCACGAAGGCUUCCAGGAGGAGGAGGCAGUCCUUGCUGAGCCAUCCUAGACGUUGUUGGGAUUCCCUCAGUACAGGGAGUUGGCUGCGAGCCUAAGGAAGGUCUUGGCGGGAGCAGAGGAGGCAGCAAUCCGCUGUAAGUAGCCAGGGUCCGGCCUAGGAGAAACCAGAUUCUUUUUUUUUUUUUUUUUAAGGAGGGAUGGGGGUGGGGAAGCUGGUUCCAGCAAUCUCUACUUUAGGUAUUGUUCGGAGUAAGGGCUCUGGCCCGAGGGCAGAGGUGAAGGCCAGGCCCUAGGAUGACCUUUUCUUCUCUCCUCAUCCCUGGCUGGUCUCCAGUCUGAGCUAACUUUCUGCGGGAUCUGGGAAAAAGAGGUGGGGUGAGGGCCGGGGAAGGGUCCUCAGAUUGAAUUGAUAAUAAUCUGCCCUGGGCGGGUGGAGGCAGGGGAGGAGCUUCCAUCGCUCGCAGCCUCAGUCUACCCAGUCUGCAGCUCGGGACUGCUCGGCGUGGAGAAGCGGGCAUCUCUAGGACCCGGCUCUGCACGAAGCUCGGCUCCGCGAUCUUAGGAGCCGAGCGCGGAGCAGCGGCGUCGCGGCCCGGUCACAGUCCGCGGGGAGGCUCGAGGCGGGGGAGGGGGCGGUGCCUCCGGGGCGGGGCCGAAGGCUGCGGGCUGCGGGGCGGCCUGGCGGGAGGCCCGGCGUGCGUCAGCGCCGUGAGCCCCGGAGUUUUCCACUGACGAGGAGGGCGGAGCCGCGGGCGGGGCCGGGGCUGAGCCAGUCUCUCCCGCCGCCGCCGGACGCGCAGACCUGGGCCGGCUGCACCGACGGCCGCCCGGCCGAGCGCACUGCGGGUCGCUGUGUGCGCUGCGACCCUGGGGCCGGCACACGAGUGGCUUCGGUGAACUGGGCGAGCCCUGCUAGCUUAGGUGAGUGCCACGGUUCCUGAACGCGGCGGGAUGGGAAAUGGGGCAGGGGGCGUCUCGGGUGAGUGGCGCUGUCACUCCAGCUCCCCGCUGAUCUCCCUUGGGUCCUCCGGAGGGGACGCCGGGAUCCGGCCUCCGAGCCCGACUGGAGAUCUGGCGCCUGGAGUGAGAGCCCACGGCUGCGAGGUGGCGGGGGGGGGGCAGGCUUCCCCUCCCCCGCCUCGUUGUGGUUACCCCAGAUGUCCAGGCGCCCCAAAGCCGGGCGCAGGUGGCAGUGGGACGGGGCGCGCGUGCCCGCGGGUGAGUUUCCUUUUGACCUAGUUGCCUGAGAACUUUUCAGAAGUUACUCGCGUGGCCGGGGCAGGUGACAUUGGUCGUCUUCCUCCUCGGGCUCCCUAGGGGGAGGGUGCCCGAGCUGCGGCGUGUGCCGGGCGCCCUCGGCAGGCGGGGGUCAGGGAGGGUUUGGAGGGAUG
rnacentral:lncRNA from 1 species